AUUGAACGCUGGCGGCAUGCUUUACACAUGCAAGUCGAACGGCAGCGCGGGCUUCGUCCUGGCGGCGAGUGGCGAACGGGUGAGUAAUACACCGGAACGUGCCCAGUAGUGGGGGAUAGCUCGGCGAAAGCCGGAUUAAUACCGCAUACGAUAUGAUGGUGAAAGCGGGGGAUCUUCGGACCUCGAGCGAUUUGAGCGGCCGAUGGGAGAUUAGCGCGUUGGUUGGGUAAAGCCCUACCAAGGCGACGAUCUGUAGCUAGCCUGAGAGGACGACCAGCCAACCGGAACUUAGGCACCGGCCCAGACUCUUACGGGAGGAGGCAGUGGGGAAUUUUGGACAAUGGGCGAAAGCCUGAUCCAGAAAUGCCGCGUGUGUAAUGAAGGCCUUCGGGUUGUAAAGCACUUUUGGCGGGAACGAAAAGGACUGUGCCAAUACCACGGUUCGAUGACGGUACCCGCAGAAUAAGCACCGGCUAACUACGU
rnacentral:rRNA from 1 species